GACGAACGCUGGCGGCGUGCUUAACACAUGCAAGUCGAACGGAAAGGCCCUGCUUUUGUGGGGUGCUCGAGUGGCGAACGGGUGAGUAACACGUGAGUAACCUGCCCUUGACUUUGGGAUAACUUCAGGAAACUGGGGCUAAUACCGGAUAGGAGCUCCUGCUGCAUGGUGGGGGUUGGAAAGUUUCGGCGGUUGGGGAUGGACUCGCGGCUUAUCAGCUUGUUGGUGGGGUAGUGGCUUACCAAGGCUUUGACGGGUAGCCGGCCUGAGAGGGUGACCGGCCACAUUGGGACUGAGAUACGGCCCAGACUCCUACGGGAGGCAGCAGUGGGGAAUAUGGCACAAUGGGCGGAGGCCUGAUGCAGCAACGCCGCGUGCGGGAUGACGGCCUUCGGGUUGUAAACCGCUUUCGCCUGUGACGAAGCGUGAGUGACGGUAAUGGGUAAAGAAGCACCGGCUAACUACGU
rnacentral:rRNA from 1 species